rnacentral:misc_RNA from 1 species
UAUUAUCAAAAUAAUAAAUAAACUUUGAAAAUGGAAGCUAUUGAAGUAAUUUUAAUUACAUUAAUAUUGUUGGAAGCCAUGGAGUGCUUCAAACGUUUGUAUGGCAAUCGGAGAUGGUGGGUACGACCAGAUCUACGAGAUCGUGAAGCAAAUGGUUUCUUUGCCACGCACUUUUCCUUCCCACAGGAGUUUAAAAAUACUGUUAGGAUGGAGAAGAAAGUAUUCGACCUGCUCCUUAAUUUGAUCCGAGAAAAACUUACUAAAAACUCGAAUCGACCGUCUAUUUCUCCCGAAUGCCGGCUUUAUUUGGCCCUGUGUUAUUUGGCUCAUGGUGGAGGUAAGCCUUUUUACGCCUCUUCAUUCAAGGUCGGACUCUCCUCAAUGAAGGAAAUAGUUGGAGAAACGUGCGACGCACUGUGGGAAGUGCUUGGUCCCGUGUAUGUCUCAUUACCACAGAAUGAUGAGUGGAAACGAAUCGCCAUUGAUUUUUAUACAAUGUGGGAUUUGCCGAACUGCGUCGGGGCAAUUGACGGCAAACAUAUAAACGUAUUUUGUCCGUCAAACUCUGGCUCUCUCUUCUACAACUACAAGGGAAAUUAUUCCAUAGUUUUACUUGCAGUAUGCGACGCCAAUUAUACAUUUACUGGAAUCGAUAUUGGCGCUUACGGUUCCCAAAGCGAUGGCGGUGUCCUAUGGAAUUCGGGCUUCGGCAAAAACCUUUACUCUGGAUCUGCCUGAAAAUGAUGUUCUACCAGGUACAAACAAUUGUUUUCCCCAUUACUUUGUUGGCGAUAAUGCGUUUCCGUUGAAACCAUUUUUGAUGAGACCGUUUCCAGGAACAAACUUACCACCAGCAAGGCAAAUUUUUAACCAACGAUUGUCCCGGGCUCGUUGGGUCAUCGAAAACGAGUUUGGAAUUUUGGCGUGCCGGUGAAGAAUAUUAUUAAGUCCACUAUAAAUGAGCCCCGCUUCUACCGAGAAGAUAGUGAAGGCCACUGUCGUGUUGCACAACUAUGUAAAAAUGCCCGAUGGUAGCUAUUGUCCCCCUGAAGCAAUUGAUCAAGAAAUCAAUGGCGAAGUGAGAAGGGGCUUAUGGCGAAAUGAAAUUCCUGCCCCCUUACAGAAUGCUAGGCGCAUGGGCUCAAACAACGCUUCCCACAAUGCUUUUAAAUUGAGGGAUGAAUUAAAAGAUUAUUUAGUAUCUCACCCCCGAAUAACCCAGUAAAGAAGAGUACAUGCAAGUACAUGUAGUGCAAAUAAUUAAAAUAAAUAAUUACUUUUAAUUCUAUAAUUCUGAAAGAUAUUUUAAUUCUCUAUUUUUGAUAUUAACUAAUUCAAAAGGUGAAGUAAUAACGAAGUUAUUAGUCAAACUAAAAAGUUCACGUUCACGCUCGCAAUGAGCUGUAUAGCGGGCUUAAAAAUAUUAACUAUCAUACAGUGGCCGGAAAUAUUAUGGCCGCACCACGUAUUGACAAGUUUUCACAUUUUUGUUACUUAAUUUUA